AAAAUGUUCAAAUUUGCCUUCCCGACAUUCCGUUUUGCCGCUUCAAGUUCCCGGAUUCUAACGUGAAGCAGUAUGUCUGAGGAGCAGCAGUUACAAAACAAGAGUGGCGACAGCCCCGGAGAAGGAGCCGGUGACAACAAAGACAAAGAAAAGGAAUACAUCAAGCUCAAAGUAGUGGGCCAGG